GAUGAACGCUGGCGGCGUGCCUAAUACAUGCAAGUCGAGCGAACGGACGAGAAGCUUGCUUCUCUGAUGUUAGCGGCGGACGGGUGAGUAACACGUGGAUAACCUACCUAUAAGACUGGGAUAACUUCGGGAAACCGGAGCUAAUACCGGAUAAUAUUUUGAACCGCAUGGUUCAAAAGUGAAAGACGGUCUUGCUGUCACUUAUAGAUGGAUCCGCGCUGCAUUAGCUAGUUGGUAAGGUAACGGCUUACCAAGGCAACGAUGCAUAGCCGACCUGAGAGGGUGAGCGGCCACACUGGAACUGGACCACGGUCCAGACUCCUACGGGAGGCACCAGUAGGGAAUCUUCCGCAAUGGGCGAAAGCCUGACGGAGCAACGCCGCGUGAGUGAUGAAGGUCUUCGGAUCUUAAACCUCUGUUAUUAGGGAAGAACAUAUGUGUAAGUAACUGUGCACAUCUUGACGGUACCUAAUCAGAAAGCCACGGCUAACUACGUG
rnacentral:rRNA from 1 species